rnacentral:rRNA from 1 species
UGAUAAGCUGGGAUGUGAUGGGGAGCGAAAUUUAGUAGCGAAGUAGCUGAUUUCACACUGUCAAGAAAAGUCUCUAUCGAGGUUAAAGGUACCCGUACCGCAAACCGACACAGGUGGGUGAGGAGAGUAUCCUAAGGCCCGCGAGAGAACUGUUGUUAAGGAACUCGGCAAAAUGACCCCGUAACUUAGGGAUAAGGGGUGCAACCAUCCGGUGGCCGCAGAGAAUAGGCCCAAGCGACUGUUUACCAAAAACAUAGGUUUCUGCUAAGUCGCAAGACGAUGUAUAGGAGCUGACGCCUGCCCGGUGCUGGAAGGUUAAGGGGAUCUGUUAG